AUAAGCUUUUGUCUUUUUAAGGGACAAGAGAGCAGGCCUUGGGAGCUGAGAUGGGACCUUUAGUGGCUAUAAAUGCGGAUUUACUUGGAUUUGGAAUGUAUGAGCUGUGUGACCCCUAAACAAGAAACCCUUUGUCCCUUUAUGUCAAUUUACUCUUCUGGAAAGGGAUAAUAAUAUCAUCCACCUCCCAAGGUGCAGUUGUUUCCCAAUGGAUGUUUCUAUAUGGGCAUUUAAAUGUCAUCAUUGUAACCUGCCAAUGGAGAUGAGAUGUUCUGUCCUUGGGAAUGAAUUCAACUGAAUUAAGACCACCACAGUCAGAGGGGAUUUAGUUUUAAUAAUGGGUUUUCCUUCAAAUGUUAAUGACAUCACAUUGUUUAUUACAUUGUUGUGUUUCAAAAUGUUCUUAUAUUGGAGAAUGUGGUCAAUUUGGAAACAUUGG